CAUGAUUGUGUGUUGGCCUAUCAGUUGAUGGGCACUUAGGUUGAUUCUAUGUCUUUGCAAUUGUGAAUUGUGCUGUAAUAAACAUAUGCAUGCAAGUGUUUUUUUGAUUUAGUGACUGUUUUUGGGAGGUAGAUACCCAGUAGUGGAAUUUCUGGGUAGAAUGGUAGAUCUACUUUUAGUUCUUUGACAAAUAUCCACAUCUUUUUCCACAGAGGUUGUGCUAAUUUACAAUCCCACCAGCUGCGUAUAAGCGUUCCAUUUUCACUACAUCCACACCAACAUCUAUUGCUUUUUGACUUUUAAAAAAUAGCCGUUCUGACUAGGAUAAAGUGGUGCCUCAUUGUGGUUCUAAUUUGUAUUUCCCUGAUUAGUGAUGUUGAGCAUUUUUUCAUCUGUCUGGUGGCUUUCUGUGUGUCUUAUUUUGAGAAAUGUGUAUUCAUUCAACUCAAGGAUUUUAUCCUUGCUUUUGUUUCUUCCUGGAAUGUUCUUACUUCACUUACCUGGGUCUCUCCUCUCAUUCAGGUCUCAAUGCCAAGGUCUUCCCUGAGGACCUGAUCUAGUUUCUCUUUCCCUAUUGAGAUGGAGCAGGAGCCCCCUUUAUUAGGGGCCUGCAGACCCCAAACAUGGAAAUCAAGGAGAAUCAUGAUUGCCUUCAAGGGAAGUUCCAGGCACCUAGCUAGCUCCAGAAGUCAAUAAGUAACUUAUUAAAAAAGAAGGCAAUAGUAGCCUAAAGGACACCUGAGGAAAUUAGAGUCCUAGGGAUGUUUGUUUUUCCUAAAGAAUCCAAGGAGAACAUCUUAACCUGUACUUCUGAGUUGUCUUUCAGAAACUCAGACCCCCACUGGGGACCCACACUGAAGGGAUCAGCCAAUAUGCAGACCUCAGAUACGCUCAGCGUGUUCCAAGACGCAGGCCCCACCCCCGGAGGUGAAUGUGUGGAGAUAACCAGUUACCACGGGGCUCUCUAGAAGGGGUCCAGCACACAGGCAGUUGGCAGAACCCGGGAAGUACCAGCUAUUGAAAUGAACUCAAACUGCCUUAUCUAAAGACUGUGAAAAAAGAAAUGGUUCGGGUACAAAGCUUACUGCCAAGGAGUGCUCUGCCACCUCUGCCUGACAGGGACAGAAGGGAUCUUGUUGGCAACACAUUCCCAGGGUUGGAAGGGCCCCUGCGGAGCUUCAUGGCACAGGCAGAACAGAUGCUGAGAUCACUCAUGUGGAUGAGAGACCUGGCUGCCCACUCACACCACCUGGCGAGCUUGAGAUCAGCAUCUAAAACGCCCCAGGAGAACUGGGCACUGGUUCUGACAAGUUAAGAAGGCAAAAGUCUGCUGCUCUGGGGUGACGGGUGUAACUGGAGUGAGUGUUGUGAACAAACAGAGAUAACGAAUUUUUCAAACAUUUUUUACCAUAGUCAGAUUUAAUCUCCUAUCUCUAAGUCUAUGGUCUUUCUUCUUCCCUCUAAAAUGUGUUAUUUCAUGGGGAGUUUUCUGAGAUACAGGCCAAGGGCAAAUUCUGGUACAGCUCAUCCACUCUGCCUCUCCACUGCUCUAGGAGCAGGCAGGAUUUGGUAGAGGUUGGGGAUGAAUCCCAGAGCUCAGCCCUGAGAGUCUGCACCCUGCAGACACAUCCUGGGGAGGUCACCACCCUGACCCUCUCUCUGGGUGGAGCAAACAGGCCAAGGAGACAAUGGUUCCAAAGGCGUUAGGACACAGCAGCCACGGGGGACUAGGCCUAGGAGCUCAGCAGCAGGGGACAGGGAAGGGCCAUGAGUCUUUUGCUUUGGGAAAUAGUUAGGUCUGAGACUUUUGGUGAUGGGCACAGGCAGCCUAUGCAAUCUUGUGCUGGAAGAGGUGCUUCUAAUCACAAAAAGGGCAAUAAGAUAGUUGCUUUUUGCCUGGGGAGGACAGGUGACAAGGUGAAGGUCACAUGCAAGGUCGUGGCAUUUUCCCAUAUGUGGGGAUGCUGAAUGCCAACAUCUCUAUUUCCCACCUUUCUACAUCCAGAUAAAUAAUGAAGCAUUUUCUGUAUGGAGGGCAGAGCCUGGUCUAUGCAGCUCUUUCUAUCAGGCAUGGAGACUUGCAGGCCCCUGGCUGAUCUUCUCCACCCAGCCAGUUGUUCCUGGAUUCAGUCAGGGCAGGCCUAGACUCCCCUUUCUGCUGGGUUGUGAGAACUGCAGUCUUUAGCAUGUGAGUCUUCGCAGGAGCAAAGGCAUGGGCCAAGGGUUUAAUAUUAUCACUUAAAACCAGAGGUGAAACUGGGUUGGGGCUAAGUCAGAACGAACAAAAAAGGAGCUACUCUUAAGACUUGCAGAGAAAUAGUGACAAUGACUCAUUUUAAACUAGAACCCAAUGUGGUAAUGAGCUCACAUUUGAGCAUUCGACAGUGCCUAUACAUUCUCCAAUGCAGGUGUCAUUAAGGGAGAUGUGUCUGGCAGCAGCAAGAGUAGUUUUAAUUGAGAAGUGGUUUCACACAGAUAUAUAGGGAUGGAAAUGGAUAUAUCUACAUACAUUUAGAUAUAUAGACAUCUAUGCAUAGAUCUGGAUCUAUAUCCAUGUAUCGACAGAUUCUGUACUAUUCACUCCUUUCUUCCUUCGCUUCACAGUCAUGGUUGAGUCUAAAAGAUAUUAAGACCAUCAGUUGAAAAGUAAAGCUCAUUUUAAACUAGUUAUUCAACUUUAUGUACUCCAUGUACCUACAGUCAGAGUAUUUUUUAAUUUCUGAUUUUACUCAGCAACUCAAAGGGAGCCUCUUCUUUCCUUCUUGUUUGUCUUUCUUCACCCCUUAAGUACAGGACCUUCAUUGGUCCCACUGGAAAUGACCCUGACCCCAGCCUUGGUUUGUGACUGACUGAAAUUCCUGUGGCCUUCUCAAAGCUGAGGUCUUCCAUUUGCACUGAUUCAUGGAUACUCAUGGCAUUGUGAGUCUUUCGCGAAUCUGCCAGGAUACAUCAUGUUAUCGGGUGCAGGUGUGUGUAAAGAUCUGACCCCUGAACACAUCUUUUGUGAACUAACAGAGAAACAGAUGCUAGUGGAUGUGUGUGUGUCAUCCACACCUAGGGAGACAACAGGGCUUCCAAACCCCUAGAGCUGAUCCCUGGCAGGGCUCAAACUGCAGGGGAGAUGCUGUGGGGGUCUGUGGUUACUUUUGUGCUGAAGACCUUCUUCUUCAGUGGUGCCUCUUCAUUUGCAAUUGUAAUUAUUUCUCUGGAAACUAGGAACCUAGGUUUUUGUGAAGUGAUAAAACUAAUUAGCCACAACAAAUCCUGUCUGUGCUUAGUUUGCUCAGGACUACACAGUGUAUAUUAGUUUGCCUUUUGGUAGGAGCCUCUUUGCUGUGGCAUGACAGUGCUGCAGUCCCCUGGGGCUGCUUCAACCCCCACCAGAAAGGAAAAUGAGAGAAACAAUGCAUUCGAGGCACAAGCCUGCUACAAAUCACCCAUUAAUUACACACAGAGCUGUGCGCCAGCCAAAGGGCUUUGUCGGGCUUGCACCUUGAAGCCAAUAGCAGAAUUCUAGGUGCUGCAAUUGGGAAUAAGGAGCUGUGCUCGACAUACAUGACCAUUGGGCACAGUCUAGGGCAAGGAGGAAUAAUUCAAGGCCACGCCAAAACCCAGGAGGAAGAACAUGGCCACACAACCCAUCUGCUUUGACCAGUCUUGCCUUCACGUGAGGUCAUUGGAAAGAAACCACCUGCACAGGUGUAAACUCCUGGGUGCUUUUGCCUAAGGCAGUUUCCAGGGGCAAGAGAAAUGCAACAAGAAUAAAGGUGACUCAUAAAAUGGAUCCUGCCAUGUAAAUUCGAAGCAGAAAGUGUAUUUUAAUUAGACUUGGUUGCUGCUUUCACCCGAUUUCCAAGUAUUAAAUUUUCUCUUUCAUUUCCUGCGUGAGUAAUCCUGGCCCUGAUUAAUUGAAAACACUAGGUCCUUGCUACUCCCACACAUUCCCCAUGGAGGGGACUGCGCUUCCGUGACAAAUGGUCAUGGAAUGUGCUCCAUUAUCAUUCCUUGACAUAGCAAAUAAAGAGGGGAAAUCAUUUAUUCCCAGCAUUGGCAAGCAGCCUUCGGGGACUGCACUGGCCAGCUCUGACACCCACUGAAUGAUGGUGGCGGCACUGAUUUGCGUUACCCGCAGACAGAACCCGUGCCCUCUCACUCCAUUAGCCAAGUCAGAAACAUCAAGCUUUUACGGAAUCCAUUCCAGCUGAAACAACAGUCUCCUUUAUCAUUGUAAUAAACACACCCAGGGACAGAGGAUAGCUGCUCAGGAAUUUCUGGGUAAGGUGAAUCCUACUGAACAAGAAAAGCUCUCCAAAGAAGUGGCCGGCUGUGAGUGAUGGUGUAGAUGCACUGGCUUUGCGAGGGGAAUGGGGGAGUGACUUGGGUGCUGACAGCAGCCAUCACACAAGGUUUCCUGAAGAUUGACAGUCAGCGCUGACAUUGUCAUCUUUGCAAGCCCCAAGAUUAGAUCUGCUAAGUCAGUGUCUGCAAGAUCUGCCUUGAUGAGGCUUGUACUGAGUAUUUGUUGUGUGGGGCCUCCUGGCCUCCAAGUCCCUCUCUGCCGCGAUAUGACAUCUUCCUUACGAGGAAUCAUUUGGUCGCCCUUGAGGACCAUUUUGGUGGGGCUAUUAAUCAGGGUGCACAGCCCUCCCCUGGCCAAUGAGCAGGCUUCGAGUAGAAGCUCAGCCAAUCAGAUUCCUCUGCAGAAAUGUUGGACUACUCCGGUGCUUGUCCGUUUUUGAUCCUGGAUUUUCAGCUUUCAUUUUUGGGAGCUCCGCCAUGUUCUUCCAGUAGAUUUUUAUUUUCCUACCUAAAUUGGCCAGAGUUAGUUUCUAUUCUUUAUAACUUUUUAAUUCUGACUGAAUUAGUGUCUUUCAUUUCUAUGAUUACUGAGACUUCUUUGUACUGUGACCAUAAAGUAAUUUGGCUGAUUUUAAUAGAAACUCCCCAGGAACUUAAUAUCCAAAAUUGUCCUUGAUAACACUUCUGUGCAUCCAAAGGCCUCAAUUUCCCUACUCCAUUCUCUUGCCACAUAAGACAGUAUUUCUUUUACUGUUUAAGUCACAUGGGUUGGGUUUUGUGUAAUGUGUAGUCCAGAGUUUUCCAGCCAGCAUAUGAUCUUUGUUCACAAAAAUUUUUGCAUUGAAUUUGGGAAGUACCAUGAUUGUCUACAAGCAUUUUUUUUGACUCUUCCUCAGGGAGAUAAAUAUGCAUCUUUUGAGAGGGGAUAAUAUUGGGAAGUAUUCAAAAUGUGUUCAAAGAGCAUUCAAACUGGAUAAUACAAUGUUUAAUCUAACAGAUAAAUCAACUCUAAAAUAACGUUUUGGUUUCUUCGUGAGGUUAAAAAGCAGGUCUGGAAGCUAUGUUAAAAGAAGAGGUCCAAGAAUAUUAUGCACAAAGGCCAUAUCGCUGGAAAAAAGUGCACAGAUUUACAAGGUGGC
rnacentral:lncRNA from 1 species